rnacentral:lncRNA from 1 species
UGAAAGCGCAACUGGGUUUUCUAGUUCCUAAAAGUGCAUAUUAGGGUCCUCCAACAGAACUACUAGGUGUUGAUCUGGUUUACAUUCAAAAGAGUAUAUUAGCAGAACUGGUCAUAAGAGAACUAGAAAAAACCACUGUAAGUGCAAUAAUACAAGAAGCAAGAGUUUUUGUCAUAUGGCAGGAUCAUAAUAAUGUUAACCUUCUAGAAAGUAGCUUCACAUUAUCUAACUAUGGCCUGAAACUAAACUUAGAACAAUAUAGCAGUAAUAGAGUCCACUUCCUUAAUGUUGACCUACAAAUUAAAGGAACCAACUUCAGCACAGAAGUCUACAGGAAACCAACCAGUACAACCAUCAUAAUACCAAGCUGGUCAGAUGACAAAUGGCAACACAAAAAGGCUGUUUAAGAUCACUAAUAACAAGAGCCCUUACACAUUCCAACAAAGAGGAAGGCUUUACGAAAGAGAUAAAUCUAAUAAAAAUGGUGGUAAAGAACCAUGGCUAUAACUGUAGGUUAAUAGAUAAAUUACUAAAAGAGAUAAGGAUCAAGAGACAAAGAGCCAUGAAUGAAAACCAACUAGAAAAUUUCAAAGUAACCAGGAAAGGGCAAUUGAACACCUCAGCACAUACACUGUAUUACCAGAAACUUUGACAGAUUUUGCAAACGGUUAAAAACAUAAUAAGACAAAUAUGAAACAUAACUACAAAAGACCGCCCACUAUAUUUAAUGCUCUGAGAAAUGAAAAAGAUCCAAGAAAGAAUCAAGAAAAAACAGGAAUAUAUCGGAUCCUUUUCCGAAACCUAGAUAAUCAAACGGAUGAGAUCUACAUAGGUGCGACAACCAGGAAUCUCAAAGACAGACUGAAGAAACACCAAAGAGACAUUAACAAUGCCAACCUCACAACAGCAUUAGCAAGAAGAACAUAAAAGAACAACAUAAAAGUCAGAUGGCAAGAUUCUAAAAUAAUAAAACAAAUGGCAGAUCCGAAAGAGCUACCCACAACAGAGGCUUUACAAAUAUAUAAAGGACCUAGGAAGCUUUAAUUGUCAAUGACAGACAAUUGGAUUCUAUACAAAAACCAUGGAAAUAUCUUUUGAAUAUAAACUGGAUCAGCACCUAGC